rnacentral:rRNA from 1 species
UACGGAGGAUCCAAGCGUUAUCCGGAUUUAUUGGGUUUAAAGGGUGCGUAGGUGGGAGGAUAAGUCAGAGGUGAAAGCUAGCAGCUUAACUGUUAAAUUGCCUUUGAUACUGCUUUCCUUGAGUCUAGUUGGCGUUGGCGGAAUGUGACAUGUAGCGGUGAAAUGCGUAGAUAUGUCAUAGAACACCGAUUGCGAAGGCAGCUCACAAAGCCACUAUUGACGCUGAGGCACGAAAGCGUGGGGAUCAAACAGG